rnacentral:lncRNA from 1 species
CCCGCCGACAAGCUCGCCAGGUGUACGGUGUUUCCUCAGACAUUGGUGCGGCUGGCUUCCGGGUUGGAUGUGCAUUGUGUCAAAAAGCAGUGCGGCUUGGUUGGGUUGUGUUUCGGAGGACGCACGGCUCUCGACCUUCGCCUCUCCCGUGUCCGUACGGGAGUUGCAGCGAUGAGACAAGACAGUAACUACUACCAAUUGGAUACCACGAAAUUGAUCAUAUUGAGAUGAGCACUCCUUUUCCAAUGAGACCUGAGUAUAUAAUGAAAAGCAAUGAAUGCUCACCGAAACAACAUGAGAAGUAAUUAACCUACAGAUUACAGAUGAAGACAAACCAAAUCAAUAUCGGACGUCUGAGACAUUGAAAUAUAUGGCGGUAAUGCCGGACAACAACAAAAAAGUAUUACAAACUACAAGGAAAUGUAAUGUAUAAGUUAAGUUAUAUUUUAACAGGAG